AUGAACCGCCCGCCUCCCCCAUUUCGUUUCCGUUUGAUGGUAGUGACGACGACGACCAAGAUAUACAAAAGGCACAAGAAGCAAAUAAACAACUGUCAAGGCAUGCUCGUGGAGGCCAUGUGGAGGGAUGGCUUGUGCAGCCAGGAGCGAAUUGAUGAGACAUGUAUCUAUACUUCUAAAGGUAUCUUCUACAGUAUGAUGUGUACACAACUGUGA
rnacentral:rRNA from 1 species